rnacentral:lncRNA from 1 species
CGCCUGUCCCCUACGCAGGGCUCUCUGCUCCCCAUCACCCGCCUCUAGCACUUAUCCAAGUUCAACCUGACCACUCUUGGCCUUUGUAAAUGGACUUUGGGUCCUUGCCUUCCCCACCUCUGUACGUUAGGUCCCGUAAACCGGGAGAGGAGACACCCUCCCCGGGGCGCCCCUUACAUGACCACUCCCGAGUCGUCUGAGGGUCCGCAAGCCCUUAAACGAGGCUUUGAAAGCCUCGGACAGGACAGGUGCGUCCUGUCUAACUCGCCAGUGGCCCUGGGCGAGCUUCAGUGCGAUCAAAGUUCUACGUGCGAGAGCCGCCGAAUGCCAAACCUGACUGGCUGAAAGUUGGGUUCACCUUGGGCACCACUGUCUUCUUGUGGAUCUAUCUCAUCAAACAACACAAUGAAGAUAUUUUAGAGUACAAAAGAAGAAAUGGGCUGGAAUAAACUUUUGAAACACUAAUGUAGUAUGCUCCGUAUAGUGAUUGUAGCUGUUCCUCUGGAUUCACCAUCUGUUGAGUUGUAAAUGUGAGAGAAAAAGUUAUAUGUGAAUAUAUAUCAAGCCAGCAUUUGUAUUUUGCAUCAUUAAAUAAAAAGAAAUAAAAAU